rnacentral:rRNA from 1 species
UACGUAGGCCGCAAGCGUUGUUCGGAGUUACUGGGCGUAAAGGGUGUGUAGGCGGUUAUUUAAGUUUGGUGUGAAAUCUCCCGGCUCAACCGGGAGGGUGCGCCGAAUACUGAAUGACUUGGAGUGCGGGAGAGGAAAGUGGAAUUCCUGGUGUAGCAGUGAAAUGCGUAGAUAUCAGGAGGAACACCGAUGGCGAAGGCAGGUCUCUGGGCUGACACUGACGCUCAUGCACGAAAGCGUGGGGAGCAAACAGG